rnacentral:rRNA from 1 species
GGCUCAGAACGAACGCUGGCGGCAAGCUUAACACAUGCAAGUCGAACGGAUUAUCUUUUAUAGCUUGCUAUAAAAGAUAAUUAGUGGCAGACGGGUGAGUAAUGCAUAGGAAUCUACCUAGUAGUAUGGGAUAGCCACUAGAAAUGGUGGGUAAUACUGUAUAAUCCCUGCGGGGGAAAGAUUUAUCGCUAUUAGAUGAGCCUAUGUUAGAUUAGCUAGUUGGUAGGGUAAAGGCCUACCAAGGCGAUGAUCUAUAGCUGGUCUGAGAGGAUGAUCAGCCACACUGGAACUGAGAUACGGUCCAGACUCCUACGGGAGGCAGCAGUGGGGAAUAUUGGACAAUGGGCGCAAGCCUGAUCCAGCUAUGCCGCGUGAGUGAGGAAGGCCUUAGGGUUGUAAAACUCUUUCAGUAGGGAAGAUAAUGACGGUACCUACAGAAGAAGUCCCGGCAAACUCCGUGCCAGCAGCCGCGGUAAUACGGAGGGGGCAAGCGUUGUUCGGAAUUAUUGGGCGUAAAGGGCAUGUAGGCGGUUCGGUAAGUUAAAGGUGAAAUGCCAGGGCUUAACCCUGGAGCUGCUUUUAAUACUGCCAGACUAGAGUCCGGGAGAGGAUAGCGGAA